UCGAGAAUUUUUCACAAUGGGCGCAAGCCUGAUGGAGCGACGCCGCGUGGGGGAUGAAUGGCUUCGGCCCGUAAACCCCUGUCAUUUGCGAUCAAACCUUAUUAUUUAAAAGAUGAUGAGCUGAUAGUAGCGAAAGAGGAAGGGACGGCUAACUCUGUGCCAGCAGCCGCGGUAAUACAGAGGUCCCAAGCGUUGUUCGGAUUCACUGGGCGUAAAGGGUGCGUAGGUGGUCGGGUAAGUCGGAUGUGAAAUCUCCAAGCUCAACUUGGAAAUGGCAUUGGAAACUACCUGGCUCGAGGAAUGGAGGGGGGACUGGAAUUCUCGGUGUAGCAGUGAAAUGCGUAGAUAUCGAGAGGAACACCAGUGGCGAAGGCGAGUCCCUGGACAUCUCCUGACACUGAGGCACGAAAGCUAGGGGAGCAAACAGGAUUAGAUACCCCCGUAGUCC
rnacentral:rRNA from 1 species